GAAAUGCGAUACGUAACGCGAAUUGCAGAAUUCAGUGAAUCGUCGAAUCUUUGAACGCAUAUUGCGGUUUUCGGGCUUGCUCGAAGACCAUGCCUCUUUCAGUAUCGGCUACCCAUCAAUCCGGAAGUCUGCGGACCGAA
rnacentral:misc_RNA from 1 species